GACGAACGCUGGCGGCGUGCUUAACACAUGCAAGUCGAACGGUGAAGCGCCUUCCUUUUUGGUGGGUGUGGAUGAGUGGCGAACGGGUGAGUAACACGUGAGUAACCUGCCCCCUUCUUCUGGAUAACCGCAUGAAAGUGUGGCUAAUACGGGAUAUUCUGGGUCUGUCGCAUGAUGGGUCUGGGAAAGAUAUUGUUUCGGUGGGGGAUGGGCUCGCGGCCUAUCAGCUUGUUGGUGGGGUGAUUGCCUACCAAGGCGGUGACGGGUAGCCGGCCUGGGAGGGUGGACGGUCACACUGGGACUGAGACACGGCCCAGACUCCUACGGGAGGCAGCAGUGGGGAAUAUUGCACAAUGGGCGCAAGCCUGAUGCAGCGACGCCGCGUGAGGGAUGGAGGCCUUCGGGUUGUGAACCUCUUUCGCCAGUGAAGCAGGCCUGCCUCGUUUGUGGGUGGGUUGACGGUAGCUGGAUAAGAAGCGCCGGCUAACUACGUG
rnacentral:rRNA from 1 species